rnacentral:lncRNA from 1 species
UAUUUAGCCACACAGGUGCUUGGGCGACAUGGUUGAGUUGGCUGUAGUGAGGAACAGCACUGCUUUCAGCCGCCAGUGCUCCUUACCUGCUACUGGCCUCUGCUCUAGGGAAUUCCACACCACCUUAGCAUUUUGAACCAUCCUGGAUUAGCAUGUAGGUGACUGAUGAUUUAGAGUGUGCUUUCUUCCAGUGUUUUCUAAAAGAAUUAACUGUUUUGUACUAGAUCCUGUAGACUUUUCAGGGGUAAACGUAUGAAAACGUAAGAGCUGAGUGUGCUUGUAUAAAGUUCACUUGCUUCACUCUUACCUGGUGUUUUAAAGACUCCCUAAGGCUAAAUGUGUCCCAAAACAUGUCUCUUCUCUUGCUCCAGUGGAUUUUAAACUAUUUUGAUAGUUAACAGAAUUAUAUUGCUGGAGUUAAAAGUUGGCUUAAAAAGCACCACUUAAAGCUACAGAUAACGAAAUCAUGAAUAGUGUGCUCAGUUACAGACACUGAGUUGUUCCUAGUGACUAAUCCUUUUCCUUGGCGAGUUACUGCCCUGUGUUUUAGACAGAUCUGCAGAAUGAGAGACAUCAUCCAAGAUAACUUUCCAAGAGAUUAUGACCUUGUGAGUUGUUUUGGACAAUUAAAAACCAAAUGUCCAAUUGAACAUCGUGUUUGACUAUCUAGACAUGAGAGUGGGUAUUUAUUUCUGCAGAGUGUAUUUCAGUCAUUAGUACCCCUAGCAAACAUAUAGGCAACAGUAGGAUUCCUGGCUACUAGCAUCCACACACCAGGGUCCUCUAACUCAGGGCUGCUACAGACUAGCCUGAGCUCAUUUUCAGUGCUUGUGUGUUUUGUGCUGACUAGGGAGGAGUGUUUACUGACAGAGGUCCUCAGCUCCGGUGGUUGUCUCAGUUGGCUUAAAGGAGACUAAUGGAAGGAGCUGUCAUGCCUGGAGCUUCCAUGUUCUGUCCUCAGCUCUGUAGAACACAUAGCUUGUUCCUUCCCUGCCUGUUGAUUGCAGCAAACUAUGGUUAUAAGUCAUGUCCAGUAUCAGACACUUGACACUUGAAAGCCAGCAUAGGGUUCUGCAGAUUUUCAAGGACAUAGCUGUAGCCAGAACAGCAUUGAGCACAGGCUCCACAGGUUGCCGGUUGGUCACUUCCUGAAGCACCAGCUGGUUUACCAUUCCAGGAUAAAGAGCCAUCAGAAAAGCCGGUGAGCCUCUCCCUGAGUCUGUCCCAGUCUGCCUGGACCUUCCUGCUAUUGCCUUUGGCUUGGUUCCUUUCUAGAGAGAAGAGCAGACUCUUCCAUGUUCUUCCCUGUAAUCCAAAGAGAGCUGUUCUAUCCAAGCAACGUUUCCAUUUUUCAUGAUGCCCACUACCCCUGUGUCCAGAAGUUAGAGAAGAAGCAAGUCCAAGACAGGUUCUUCACUGCCACCACCAGGUGCCCCUACCCCCACUGCAUACUGUGCGUGGGAAACUGCCCUGUGUCUUGGGAGCAGGAGUGGAGUUUCUAACUAUUAGAGUUGUUUAUGUGUUUCUGUCUUGGUGACAUUUGUCGUACAGUCUCCUCACCUUUUUCUUUAAUUGGUCAGUUCAUACAAGGUUGUGUAUGUUGUCAUUUAUCUUCAGUUUUCUUAUUUUCUAGGAACUUCCUGUAGAAAAGUCCCCCCCACAAAACAAACCUUAACUGACUAAAAGAUAUUGCAUGCUCAACUUAGGAUAAGCACUACGGCAAAGGAUACGAAAUCUACCCAGCUUGCAAGACCAGUUGAAGCUGACUCAAAAGCUGUAACAUACAGCUGCUUACCGACAGGCUUCUUGCCCUGGUUAGUGUCAGGCAUCCGUCUCUUUGGUGGAGCUCACGUGUGUGCUGGGCUCUCAGGGGAUUGAAAUCCAAAGAGAAGGGUGCCAUAAGAUGGGCUAGAUGGACUGGCUCUUCCUCAUCACCGGACUGGCAGCUCAGCUCUGAGUGUGGCCCUUGAGUCUGGCAGAGAGCAGCUAAGAGAGCAAUUGAACUGAACCUUGCAAAGCAAGUGCCCUUGUUUUAUGAGUGGUCCUAGUUUCAGGGAUGACAGAUCGGGUGUGCCCACCUCAAAACGCUUGCGUUACACCAGCCCUCGAUGCCUUCUUUCAUGUGAAUUAUACAGAGAGGCAUUUAGUUGAUCCCUAUCCCUCUCCCC